ACAAGCCCUGGAAACGGGGUCUAAUACCGGAUACGACCUGCUACCGCAUGGUGGCGGGUGGAAAGCUCCGGCGGUGAAGGAUGAGCCCGCGGCCUAUCAGCUUGUUGGUGAGGUAAUGGCUCACCAAGGCGACGACGGGUAGCCGGCCUGAGAGGGCGACCGGCCACACUGGGACUGAGACACGGCCCAGACUCCUACGGGAGGCAGCAGUGGGGAAUAUUGCACAAUGGGCGAAAGCCUGAUGCAGCGACGCCGCGUGAGGGAUGACGGCCUUCGGGUUGUAAACCUCUUUCAGCAGGGAAGAAGCGAGAGUGACGGUACCUGCAGAAGAAGCGCCGGCUAACUACGUGCCAGCAGCCGCGGUAAUACGUAGGGCGCAAGCGUUGUCCGGAAUUAUUGGGCGUAAAGAGCUCGUAGGCGGCUUGUCACGUCGAUUGUGAAAGCCCGAGGCUUAACCUCGGGUCUGCAGUCGAUACGGGCUAGCUAGAGUGUGGUAGGGGAGAUCGGAAUUCCUGGUGUAGCGGUGAAAUGCGCAGAUAUCAGGAGGAACACCGGUGGCGAAGGCGGAUCUCUGGGCCAUUACUGACGCUGAGGAGCGAAAGCGUGGGGAGCGAACAGGAUUAGAUACCCUGGUAGUCCACGCCGUAAACGGUGGGAACUAGGUGUUGGCGACAUUCCACGUCGUCGGUGCCGCAGCUAACGCAUUAAGUUCCCCGCCUGGGGAGUACGGCCGCAAGGCUAAAACUCAAAGGAAUUGACGGGG
rnacentral:rRNA from 1 species